UACAGAGGUCUCAAGCGUUGUUCGGAAUCACUGGGCGUAAAGGGUGCGUAGGUGGCGUGGUAAGUCAGAUGUGAAAGCCCGGGGCUCAACCUCGGAAUUGCAUCCGAUACUACCAUGCUAGAGUACUGAAGAGGUGACUAGAAUUCUCGGUGUAGCAGUGAAAUGCGUAGAUAUCGAGAGGAAUACCAAAGGCGAAGGCAGGUCACUGGGCAGUUACUGACACUGAGGCACGAAGGCUAGGGGGAGCAAACGGG
rnacentral:rRNA from 1 species